GGACGAGCGAUCAGAGUACAAUGUUUUAUUUGUAGUUUCUUCUCCCGGGUACAAUACGCGAAUCGAAUCGAAGAACAGGUGCAAUGAUGCAUGAGAGCGCGUGAAUCUAUUAUCGCAAAGGUAAAGGGGACUGAAUAGAUCACAAAAAAGACAUUUACUUUUCUUGAAAGAAAAUAAUGAAACUGACAGAGGGGAAGAGAUGAGACUGACAGAGGGGAAGAGAGAAAGAAGAAAA